rnacentral:lncRNA from 1 species
AGAGACUGCGACAAUAGCGAGAAUGUGUGCGACAACAGGGUUUCAGGGUUUCAGAGAGGGAAAAUCAUGGUUGCAGUGAGGGAGGGAGAAUCAUAGUUGCAAUGAGUGAGGGAGAAUCAUGAAAUGAUGCGAGAAGGGGGACAAGCUAGGUUCGAGAAGGGGACAAACUUGGCUCGAAAGCGGGAGGGAGAAAAGCGAGAAGAGUUUAAUCAGAUUCUAUUAUUUAAUUCUAUUUUUUAAUUAUUAUCUAUUUCCAUAUCCGUAUUAAACAUCAGUAGCAAAGUCNCCCCCAAUAUUACCCACCGAUAUUAUAUACGGAUAAUNCGUAUGUAAUAUUUUUCUCCUUUAUAUACAGAUAAUCCG